rnacentral:rRNA from 1 species
GACGAACGCUGGCGGCGUGCUUAACACAUGCAAGUCGAACGGAAAGGCCCUGCUUUUGUGGGGUGCUCGAGUGGCGAACGGGUGAGUAACACGUGAGUAACCUGCCCUUGACUUUGGGAUAACUUCAGGAAACUGGGGCUAAUACCGGAUAGGAGCUCCUGCUGCAUGGUGGGGGUUGGAAAGUUUCGGCGGUUGGGGAUGGACUCGCGGCUUAUCAGCUUGUUGGUGGGGUAGUGGCUUACCAAGGCUUUGACGGGUAGCCGGCCUGAGAGGGUGACCGGCCACAAUGGGACUGAGAUACGGCCCAGACUGCUACGGGAGGCAGCAGUGGGGAAUAUUGCACAGUGGGCGGAAGCCUGAUGCAGCAACGCCGCGUGCGGGAUGACGGCCUUCGGGUUGUAAACCGCUUUCGCCUGUGACGAAGCGUGAGUGACGGUAAUGGGUAAAGAAGCACCGGCUAACUACGUG